UGUGAGGGUGAUGAGUUGCACUCUUAAGCUGGGGCUCCGGUGCAGUGGCACAUAGGAGUCUCAGUCCGACCUCCUGAGGACACGCCCAUGUGCACAGGGGCCAUCUGACUCACA